CGCCGCGCGAACGUUCCCGCCUCUUCCGGCGGAAGUGACGCCGUGGUAGCUGCGGGAGAGGGCGGAGUUGUCCAUUUGCUGUGGAGCGGUGCCCGCGGGGGUGGAGUGGUGCAUCCGGCCGUGGCAUCCCGGGAAGGCUAGGGCUAGAGCCUCUGGGUUUAUGGCUUGUAAGGGCGGACCUGGGCUCUGUUGGGAGUUCGACAAGCGCCCAUGGCUAGAAGAGGCCCUAACACAUCCAAAAAAUAAAGUCAGGGAAAAGAGAGAUUCCUCAAUAAAUAUUUUACAACGAGAAACUAUAUUAUCAUUCAGAACAGCUCUGUGAGGCAAAUGGUGGUAUCUCCAUUUUACAGAUGUUAAAAACUGACGCUUAGAGAAAUUAAACGAUGUGUUUAAGAUCUCAGUGAGUGUUAGUAUUAAGACUGCAUCCAAGUCUUUUUGACCCCAAGGGCUGGCGGACUGGAUUCUUUUUCCUCCAAUAAAGAACGAACGUGCUCACCUGCUCACCAGCUACCACAGCCAAGAGAUCUAAGGAGAAGAAAGAUGUCAGGGUGACGCGAAAGAGUUCUUUCCCAGGGUCUUCAGGGGUUCCCCUGCCCCAAACCUUUUCAGUGAGCAUCCCAUUUUCCUGCUGUGUAACACCACGAGUGUUGGGCAUAUUCUAGGAUGGAACCUAAUGUUCAAAUAACAAAAAUCAGGGGAGAGGAAGUAAAGAACUACAGAAUCUUGGCUUGUUGACGGCCAAUGACAAACUGCUGCGUUCACAUUUCUUCUCAUUUUAUUCUUGACUACUGAGGUUAAGAAGAUUAUGACUCUGCUUGAGUAAUAGUCUCAAUAUGGCAAAGAACAGCUUGGAUCUAAAUGUGUAAACACACCCACGGAAGGUGAGUCAGAAUCAGUGACACUGUGGCUUAAAGGUAAAGGCCUGUUGUCGGGGAGAGGGUGAGGAAAGCCUUAUACAUAAAUGAAAGUUACUAGAGAUGUGGAAUAAAAAGAAGAUCCUGCCACCAAGUUCAUUGUGAGGAGGCCUUGGCCUUGUCUUGUAUGUGUGAAGUUGAAGACCACCACAUGAAACUGACUGGGAGCAAAAAGAUCUGAAGGUGACUAAAGAAAACCAGAAAUCUGGAGUGUUCGAACUUUGACACAGUCUUCAAGCUUGCAUAGUAGGAAGUGGGUGAAAAGUCAUACAGCCCCCGAGGAGCACAGACUCCUCAGUAGCCCAUCCAGACCUGGCUAGAGAAGGGAGUGGAAAAGUAGGCCCUCCCAGAGGGGGCUGCCAGGACCUUGGAGAGCAAUGAGCGAAGGAACUACUUUCAGAGAGCAGAGGAACCACCCCGCCUGAUUAAUUCACACGCCUGCCCAGUAGGACUUCAAAGCUGAUACUGACCAGGAAUAGCUCCCAGUCUCCACCCCUCCCCUUUAUGAAAUGGAGUUUUAUUGUUGCUAUUCUGUCCCUGCUCCACCACUGUAUGUUACGUAUGCGAUUGGACGGGGAUAAGGGGUGAGCAGCAGCUGGUCUUUUUAGUCCAUAUGUCACUGGACCACGUGGUGGAUUCUGGCAGAGACCAUGGAGCAGACCCUUAGUAUCCCGUAUGUAUCCGUCAACCUCACCCCUCACAGGCACACUGGGAAACUUCCAACUUCCAGAACCUUUUUUUUUUUUUUUUGCAUACGGGCAUUCUUUGACACCCGGAGUCUGCUUUGCCACCUGCACAGAAGGCAGGGAGGCAGGGGAUUUAUGGCCCAUGGGAAAAACUCUCAAUGACUAGCAGGAGUUGGUGUAUGAAGGCUCUUGUUUGCCAGCCCCUUGGUUGGGAUAUUCUACCCUGGCUCCCAGAGUUUCCCCAGUGAAAUUAAGCCCCAGGCUCCACAGUGGUAACUGACUUGUCCGUACAUCCUUUGGAUGCCUUCUUAUCUCUGUCUUACUUCCCAUUCUCUAACCUGUGUUUCUAUACUUAUCAAAUAAAACAUUUGAAAAGUC